rnacentral:rRNA from 1 species
GUGGGGAAUAUUGGACAAUGGGGGAAAGCCUGAUCCAGCCAUGCCGCGUGUGUGAAGAAGGUCUUCGGAUUGUAAAGCACUUUAAGUUGGGAGGAAGGGCAGUAAGUUAAUACCUUGCUGUUUUGACGUUACCGACAGAAUAAGCACCGGCUAACUUCGUGCCAGCAGCCGCGGUAAUACGAAGGGUGCAAGCGUUAAUCGGAAUUACUGGGCGUAAAGCGCGCGUAGGUGGUUUUGUAAGUUGGAGGUGAAAUCCCCGGGCUCAACCUGGGAACUGCCUCCAAAACUGCAUGACUAGAGUACGGUAGAGGGUAGUGGAAUUUCCUGUGUAGCGGUGAAAUGCGUAGAUAUAGGAAGGAACACCAGUGGCGAAGGCGACUACCUGGACUGAUACUGACACUGAGGUGCGAAAGCGUGGGGAGCAAACAGGAUUAGAAACCCCUGUAGUCC